GAGGAUAUAGCUCAGCGGUAGACACAUGCUUUGCAUGCAUGAGGUCAUGGGUUCAAUCCCCAGUACCUCCA
rnacentral:tRNA from 1 species